AUAUCUAACAGUUGUUUAGAGAAAGUUUCGGUGGAUGGGUCGCGAUGAUUUUAAGCAAGCGUUGAUAUCAUCAGCGUACGUCGAACUUGUCUAAAGUGCUCGAUGAAAUUGUUGGCGUUGUUGGUCAAUUCUUCUACGUCUGUCGACUAUGUAUCUGCGCGUUACUCUCCGUUUUAGUUGCCUUUGUUGAUUUCGUUAAUUUCAAAAUCGUUAAUUUCAUCAACAUCUGCACUGUUUUCUUGGAUUUGUUCACCUGAAAUUCGUAUAUUUAUAUCUCGCAUGGUUCUAGACUUGAUCGUUUGAUGACUCACAUUGGCCCCUCUGCGUCUGAUUUGCAUUGCUCAAAUAUAUUAAAUUCUCGGGUUACAAUGUUUGUAAUUGAACUUCUCCGAAAUGGCUUCACCGAUUUUCUUGAAAUUUUAUGUGCUUUCGAUUAUAAGAUUUUAGAUUUUAGAUGUUUUCGCUUCCCAGAUGAAACGAACAAUGAUGUCAUAUUUCAUUAUUCAAUUUAAUAUUUUUCAUAACAUUUUCUUUGAGUUUUGACGCCACAUUUAUAUUAAAUGCUAUUGGCUCAGAUUGGCGAGAUUACCUUGGUAAUCGUAGUAACAAUUUUCUGGGUCUUACAGGUGCUGCAACUCUAGAUAGCGAUGGCUUAAAACUAAUCAAUCAAUGAAUCAAACUUUAUCAAAACAUAAGAGCGUGUAAAAAAAUUAUGCAUACCAAAUCUUGACCCGAUCGGACCACUCCUUUGAGUACCUCUAUACAAAAAGAGAACAUAGGUGUUUGGGAGUUACCCGAAGGAGUGGUCCGAUCUGAUAGAUGUUGGCCGAUGCGCUGACCGAUAAGCACACAACAUUUUACGAAAAUCGGUCGAGCGAUUUCGGAGGAGUUCAGCAACAAAAUUUGUGACACGAGAGUUUUAUAUACUAGAUAACUGUUCACGCCAGCAGCAAAAGAUUGCAGCGCACUGUGCCAACUCCGUGCGCUCCGGUCCCAACUCGCUCUCGCGCGCUCGGAGGGGCGCUCGGAAGACCUACACGAUCCACAAUCCACCAUCCCCACGGCGCUCACCGCAGCAUAAAGCAUAGAUCAUAAGGCUUAGAGUUUAGUUACGUUUUCACCUCCGUUUCAACCGGUCGACCCAAUACAAAUACACACACCUAUAUAUAUAUAUAUAUAUAUACCACGAAACCCAUCGACCUUUCUUUUCUUGCGACGGCUACUAGGAGUUUCACUGGACCAUCAAUCUCGUCGUGGGAACAUCGAUCUGCCCCCUACAAACAUAACUUACAGGCUUAUCGCUGUUAACAGAUGGUGAUGGUGACACAGGUCGUGGCAGUGAGUUGGCCCUCGACGAUCCGAUGCUCUGAUUUAAUGUUUCUUGCGAAACACCACUAGAUGAUGAUAGCAACAAAUGAUUAUUACUUUGUAUUACCUCCUGGAAUUGAGCAUCCACUGAUGACCAAACAGGGGUAAUGCUGUUACUGUACUGUGACUGAGUCAUAUUCCCAGUUAUAUAGGAUACAUCAGUCACACCCCUAGCAGCAAAACUUUUCUGAUCGGAGAAGCUUGUGUGCAGGUAUGGCUCUUCAAUAGUGAACUUUUUAUGUGGAUUGUUUAUUUGUUUCUGCUGAUGAUGGUGACUGUGAUAAGGAGAUAAUGUUGCUUGUUGUCUUUGCAGAUGACCUGACGAGCUUAACUGCUGUAUUAUUAUUCUAUUUUUUCCAGAGAUGUGCUGCUUGUAACUGGAUUUACAUUCACCAAAUGAGCUAACAAACUGACUGUGUCAUUCACAUUUGAAAUAUACAUUGGCAAUGGAAUGCCAAUUUUGUUCCAUCACACCAUUCACUCGAUUUAGUUCGUGAAUAUUUUUUUACGCAGAUAAGAUAGGUGCGGUGUAUAAUUAGUUUCAUGAAUGUAAAUAAUCAAAUCAAAUUACGAUGUGCCAAUUAUGUGUGUUUAAGUAAUUAGGUAUACACAUGUGCAGGUUUUUAUGAUUUGGAUGAUUGUUCCCAAAAGAAAAAUAUUGAAACGAAUAAAUUUUCAUUAUUGACAACAAAAAACA